UUUUAAGGAGGGUUGUCUAAACAAUCCAUGAGAAAGUUUGAGCUAAAUAACUCAUCAUCUAAUCACAUUAGAAAUAAGUGAGUUGGAAAUAUAUUAAUAAAUAAAAUAUAGAAAUUCUAGCUCACUCAUUUUCAAUGUGAUUGGAUGAUGAGUUAUUUAACCCAAACUUUCACAUAGAUCAUUUAGACAACUCAUUUUAAGG
rnacentral:pre_miRNA from 1 species